ACGGGUGCGUAACGCCUAUGCCACCUACCUUUAUCAGGGGGAUAGCCCGGAGAAAUCCGGAUUAAUACCGCAUAAAAUCACAGCACUGCAUACUGCAAUGAUCAAACAUUUAUGGGAUGAAGAUGGGCAUGCGUGUCAUUAACUACUUGGCGGGGUAACGGCCCACCAAGGCGACGAUUACUAGGGGAUCUGAGAGGAUGGCCCCCCACACUGGUACUGAGACACGACCACACUCAUACAGGAGGCAGCAGUAAGGAAUAUUGGUCACUGGAGGCAACUCUGAACCAGCCUUGCCGCGUGCAGGAAGACUGCCCUAUGGGUUGUAAACUGCUUUUAUCCGGGAAUAAACCUAUCUACAUGUAGAUAGCUCAAUGUACCGGAAGAAUAAGGAUCGGCUAACUCCGUGCCAGCAGCCGCGGUAAUACGGAGGAUCCAAGCGUUAUCCGGAUUUAUUGGGUUUAAAGGUUGCGUAGGCGGCCUGUUAAGUCAGGGGUGAAAGACGGUAGCUCAACUAUCUGCAGUGCCCUUGAUACUGAUGGGCUUGAAUGGACAACAGGUAGGCGGAACGAGACAA
rnacentral:rRNA from 1 species